rnacentral:rRNA from 1 species
UGGGGAAUAUUGGACAAUGGGCGAAAGCCUGAUCCAGCCAUGCCGCGUGUGUGAAGAAGGUCUUCGGAUUGUAAAGCACUUUAAGUUGGGAGGAAGGGUUGUAGAUUAAUACUCUGCAAUUUUGACGUUACCGACAGAAUAAGCACCGGCUAACUCUGUGCCAGCAGCCGCGGUAAUACAGAGGGUGCAAGCGUUAAUCGGAAUUACUGGGCGUAAAGCGCGCGUAGGUGGUUUGUUAAGUUGAAUGUGAAAUCCCCGGGCUCAACCUGGGAACUGCAUCCAAAACUGGCAAGCUAGAGUAUGGUAGAGGGUGGUGGAAUUUCCUGUGUAGCGGUGAAAUGCGUAGAUAUAGGAAGGAACACCAGUGGCGAAGGCGACCACCUGGACUGAUACUGACACUGAGGUGCGAAAGCGUGGGGAGCAAACA